ACCAUAUUUUGACAUAGAGAUUU
rnacentral:snRNA from 1 species